rnacentral:rRNA from 1 species
UACGUAGGGGGCAAGCGUUGUCCGGAUUUAUUGGGCGUAAAGAGCGUGUAGGCGGCCAAACAGGUCAGCUGUGAAACUCGAGGCUCAACCUCGAGACGUCGGUUGAAACCGUUUGGCUAGAGUCCGGAAGAGGAGAGUGGAAUUCCCGGUGUAGCGGUGAAAUGCGCAGAUAUCGGGAAGAACACCCGUGGCGAAGGCGGCUCUCUGGGACGGUACUGACGCUGAGACGCGAAAGCGUGGGGAGCGAACAGG